UGCGUAAGGGGGCAAGCGUUGUCCGGAAUCACUGGGCGUAAAGCGCACGUAGGCGGUUUAGCAAGUUGGGGGGUGUAAGCUCUAGGCUUAACCUAGAAAUUGCCUCCAAAAACUACUUCACUUGAGUAUUAGAGGGGGAAGCUGGAAUUCACGGUGUAGCGGUGAAAUGCGUAGAUAUCGUGGAGAACACCCGUGGCGAAGGCGGGGCUUCUGGCUAAUGACUGACGCUGAGGUGCGAAAGCAUGGGGAGCGAACAGG
rnacentral:rRNA from 1 species